GACGAACCGAGCGAACGUUGUUCGGAAUCACUGGGCUUAAAGGGCGCGUAGGCGGGCUGCCGCGUCCGGGGUGAAAUCCCACGGCUCAACCGUGGAACGGCCCCGGGUACGGGCGGCCUCGAGGGGGGUAGGGGCGUGCGGAACUGUGGGUGGAGCGGUGAAAUGCGUUGAUAUCCACAGGAACACCGGUGGCGAAGGCGGCAUCCUGGACCGGCAUUGACACUGAAAAGCGAAAGCCAGGGGAGCAAACGGG
rnacentral:rRNA from 1 species